GGGCGUAAAGGGAGCGUAGGCGGCGUGGUAAGUCAGAUGUGAAAUCCCGGGGCUCAACCCCGGAACUGCAUCCGAUACUGCCAUGCUUGAGGGUUGGAGAGGUAGCUGGAAUUCUCGGUGUAGCAGUGAAAUGCGUGGAUAUCGAGAGGAACACUCGUGGCGAAGGCGAGCUACUGGACAACAUCUGACGCUGAGGCUCGAAGGCUAGGGUAGCGAAAGGGAUUAGAUACCCCUGUAGUCCUAGCAGUAAACGGUGUGCGCUUGGUGUGAGGGGAUUCGACCCCCCUUGUGCCGGAGCUAACGCGUUAAGCGCACCGCCUGGGAAGUACGGCCGCAAGGCUAAAACUCAAAGAAAUUGACGGGGACCCGCACAAGCGGUGGAGUAUGUGGCUUAAUUCGAUGCAACGCGAAGAACCUUACCAAGGCUUGACAUGCAUCUCUAAGCACGUGAAAGCGUGUGACUCUUCGGAGAAUUUGCACAGGUGCUGCAUGGCCGUCGUCAGCUCGUGUCGUGAGAUGUUGGGUUAAGUCCCGCAACGAGCGCAACCCCUGUGAUUAGUUGCCAGCGGUUCGGCCGGGGACUCUAAUCAGACUGCCCAGAUCAACUGGGAGGAAGGUGGGGACGACGUCAGGUCAGUAUGGCCCUUACGCCUUGGGCUGCACACGUACUACAAUGUCCAGUACAAUGAGAACCGAGACCGCGAGGUGGAGGAAAUCUAUAAAACUGGGCCCAGUUCGGAUUGGAGGCUGCAACUCGCCUCCAUGAAGCCGGAAUCGCUAGUAAUGGUAGAUCAGCUACGCUACCGUGAUACGUUCCCGGUCUUGUACUCAC
rnacentral:rRNA from 1 species